rnacentral:lncRNA from 1 species
AAACUGGCGCGCGACUCUGGGGGAAGUGCAGGAUGGGGGGACAGGGGCGCUCCCGCGGGGGUGGAUGGGGGACCAUAGCGGGGCUGGCGGGGCAGGGGCCGGCGCACGAGGCUGGAGGAGGGGAGCGCGCGCUUCUACCCGGGCUGGGUCGCCGAGUCCACAGCCUCGAAGCCAUGGGUUCUCCCCGGCCCUCUGAAGCCGCCACACCUGUGCCAGCCGGCCGCGUCCUCAGACCUUUCCCCGCGGAGUCUUCCCAGCACUUGGAGACGCAGCGCAGGGCCCCGAGGACGGCCUGGCCCGGAGAAAAGAUACCGAAGCUCCAACUUUCCCCAACCCCGCUCCCCUCCUCCUUCCACCCUCCCUUCCCGCCCCCAAAGCUCGGGGGUCCUAUCCCUCCUCCGGUCCGCGGAGUCUCCCGAACCCUGCGGGGACCCGGCGCUCGGCGGUGCCCUCCUGGGGCGCACGGGGCUGGGGCGGGAGCGAGGAGACCAGGUGGGGAGGGGACCCCAGAUCUCAGACGCCAGGGGAGACGGCGUUUCCCGCUGUUCAUUCAGUCCUUCGACCCAGGCACGAGCGCCCAUCGCGGAGGCCACGAUGCCCGUUUUAUUCCCUCUCCACGGCAAGGAAAAGCAGCGAAAUCUGAGGUCUUCAGAGGUUAACCCUAUCUAGGAGCAGAAUGUGACGCAUUGUAAACAAAUAAAUAUUGAAAACUCGAUGUUAAA